rnacentral:tRNA from 1 species
CGCUCCAUGGCCAAACUGGUCAAGGCAUCGCCGGUUAGAGGCAAAGAUGCGGGUUUGAGUCCCACUGGAACGG